rnacentral:sRNA from 1 species
GCCAGGCGUGGUGGCUCAUGCCUGUAAUCCCAGCAGCUUGGGAGGCUGAGAUAGGAGGUUUGUGAGUUCAGCAAUUUAGUUAGGCCCUAAGCAACUCAGUGAGACCCUGUCUCUA